CUUGGCGACCAUAGCGUUUUGGACCCACCUGAACCCAUUCCGAACUCAGAAGUGAAACGAAAUAGCGUCGAUGGUAGUGUGGGGUUUCCC
rnacentral:rRNA from 2 species